rnacentral:tRNA from 1 species
GCCGGGGUAGCUCAGUUGGUAAGAGCGCCAGACUCAUAAUCUGGAGGUCGCGGAUUCGAUCUCCGCCCCCGGCACCA